AACGUAGGACGCAAGCGUUAUCCGGAGUUACUGGGCGUAAAGCGCGGGCAGGCGGCUCGAUGCGUCUGAUGUGAAAUCUCCUCGCUCAACGGGGAGAGGCCAUUGGAAACGGUCGGGCUGGAGGGCAGUAGAGGCAGGCGGAAUUCCGGGUGGAGUGGUGAAAUGCGUAGAGAUGCGGAGGAACACCGAUGGCGAAGGCAGCCCCCUGGGCUAGCACUGACGCUCAGGCACGAAAGCGUGGGGAGCAAACAGGG
rnacentral:rRNA from 1 species